AUCGUGUCAGGACGUUGAACGUGGAGGAUUGGAGUGUUCGUUUGGGGAAGAACAGUGAACCUAUCUUCGUCCUUAGCUUCUACAGGAAGGCGUGCGUUGGGCCUUUCUCUCAUUGAGUGAGGCGUCGACGGCCUGUGGAACUGAGUUUCUGGCAAGGGAUACUCGUAGAAGAGUUAGCUGCCGGCCGAGAUGUCCAGCUACGUGAACGACCUGUGGCCGGGUUCGCCGCCCAAGGCCUCGCCCUCGUCCUCGCGGUCGGGCCCGUGCAGCCGGCCGUCGUCGGCCUCCGGGAGCCGCUCUUCGUCCCGUUCCAGCGUCUCGAGCCGGUCUUGGUCCCGGAGCCGCAGCCCGCCCGGGCGGAGGAGCCGCUCCCGGUCUCGCUCCCGAAGGCGCCACCAGAGGAGGUACCGGCGCUACUCGCGCUCUUACUCGCGGAGCCACUCGCGUUCCCGCAGCCGCCGGUACAGGGAGAGGCACUCCGGCUCCACCCGGACGACCUACCGGUCCCGCAGCCGCUCCCGCGGCCGCUUGUAUUACCGUAGGGCCUACGCCAUCGCGCGAGGCCGCCGCUACUACGGCUUCGGCCGCACCGUCUACCCCGAGGAGCGCAGAAGCUGGAGGGGGCGAUCCCGGAGCAGGUCGCGAAGCCCAACCCCCUUUCGCUUGAGCGAGAAAGAUCGAAUGGAGCUGUUAGAAAUAGCCAAAGCCAAUGCAGCAAAAGCCUUAGGAACAGCCAACUUUGACUUGCCAGCUAGUCUCAGAAGUGUUUCUGUAUCUAAAGAAAGAAACCAGGAAACAGGUGUACUGAAUAAUGGUGCAAAGUCUGAGAAAUCAUGAAUGUGGUCUCCAGACAUUGAUGAAGAAAGUCUGUUGGUAAUUGAUACAUGCGCAAAAGCAUCAGAGAUGUUUUGAGAGAUUACAGAAGAAGAGGCCUGCUUCAUUUGCAGAUAAGUUUAUUAUAAUUCUCCAGAAAUGUGCAGCAUAAAAUGCAUAGCUUUAAAGGUUUACAAUAAUUAGGAAUUGAUACAUUCAGUUAACAUGAGAACGAUGGGUUAUCUAUCAUGCAGACCCAGAUGUGGGUUUGCCUAAGCAUUGGUGGUGGACAAAUAAGAGUUGAGUUGAUUUUUCAGGUGAUUAGGUACCCAACUGGAUGGGCAAAUGCCUUAGUUCUUUUGAAACUAGGUAUUUUUUGGUAUAAUUUUAUUUUCACAGUUACUUGAAUUUAGAUCAGAGGGAUACAUACAAUACUGCUUUAUGGAGAAAGGUAUCUUAAAUCAUUGAAUCAAUUUUAUGGGAAAAACUUAACAAAAGUACUAUGUUAUUUUAGGAUGUUGACUGGUUAGAUCAAACUCGAUUUAUGUCUCUGCAAGUAAAUUUAUAAUACAAUUGGACUACUUUUUAUACCUACAAG